AAUGAACGCUGGCGGCGUGCCUAACACAUGCAAGUCGAAUGUGCCGCAAGGUGCAUGGCAGACGGGUGAGUAACGCGUGGGCAAUCUACCUUUUCGUGGGGAAUAACGAUCCGAAAGGAUUGGUAAUACCGCAUGAGACCAAUGGCUGGGAUGCUGUUGGUGAAACCUGGGGACCGCAAGGCCUGGGGCGAAAAAGAGGAGCCUGCGUCUGAUUAGCUAGUUGGCGGGGUAACGGCCCACCAAGGCUUCGAUCAGUAGCCGGCCUGAGAGGGUGAUCGGCCACACUGGAACUGAGACACGGUCCAGACUCCUACGGGAGGCAGCAGUGGGAAUUUUGCGCAAUGGACGAAAGUCUGACGCAGCAACGCCGCGUGGGUGACGAAGGUCUUCGGAUUGUAAAACCCUGUCGUCGAGGACGAAGGUCGGAGUGUUAAUAGCGCUUUGGCUUGACGGUACUCGGAGAGGAAGCCCCCGGCUAACUCUGUGCCAGCAGCCGCGGUAAU
rnacentral:rRNA from 1 species